rnacentral:rRNA from 1 species
UACGUAGGGGGCAAGCGUUGUCCGGAAUCAUUGGGCGUAAAGAGCGUGUAGGCGGUUCGGUAAGUCGGCUGUGAAAGUCCAGGGCUCAACCCUGGGAUGCCGGUCGAUACUGCCGGACUAGAGUUCGGAAGAGGCGAGUGGAAUUCCCCGGUGUAGCGGUGAAAUGCGCAGAUAUCGGGGAGGAACACCUAUGGCGAAGGCAGCUCGCUGGGACGUUACUGACGCUGAGACGCGAAAGCGUGGGUAGCAAACAGG